rnacentral:rRNA from 1 species
AGUGAACGCUGGCGGCGUGCUUAACACAUGCAAGUCGAACGAGAACGGGUUAUAGCUUGCUAUAAUUGUCAGCUAAGUGGCGCACGGGUGAGUAAUGUAUAGGUAAUAUGCCUCUUACUAAGGGAUAACAAAUGGAAACGUUUGCUAAUACCUUAUACUCCUUAUUAACAGAAGUUAAUAAGGGAAAGAUUUAUUGGUAAGAGAUUAGCCUGUAUUGUAUCAGUUAGUUGGUGGGGUAAUGGCUUACCAAGACUAUGACACAUAACUGGUUUGAGAGGAUGAACAGUCACACUGAAACUGAGACACGGUCCAGACUCCUACGGGAGGCAGCAGUGGGGAAUAUUGCACAAUGGACGAAAGUCUGAUGCAGCGACGCCGCGUGGAGGAUGACACAUUUCGGUGCGUAAACUCCUUUUAUAUGAGAAGAUAAUGACGGUAUUAUAUGAAUAAGCACCGGCUAACUCCGUGCCAGCCGCCGCCGUAA